rnacentral:lncRNA from 1 species
GCAUGCAACUUUACUCAAUUAUGCUAGAUCUACUCUUAAAUAGGGACCUUUUUUCCUCUGAUUUAAGCACAUCAAACAUGGAUUAAUAGUCGGGAAAUACUAAACCAAGAAUUAAACACACAUAAUUGGGAACAAGAUUCAAGUAUUUAUUGCUAAAACAUAAAUCAAAAGACAGAAUCCAUGCUAGGGUUCAUCUCCCUAGGUAUUUAGAAAAUUAGUUCAUAAUCGCAAAUAAAAAUAUCUUAAAGACAGUAUAACCAUAAGAAAUAAAGAAAUUCAUAAUAAACUUCAAAAAAAUCAAAAUGAAAUAUUCAAUCUUGAUGGAAAUCUAUUUUAGAGACUGUUUUAAUGGUGUAACCGAGUCAUUUUCUUGUGUAUUCUCUGAUGGCUCAUUCCUCUCUUCUCAUAUUUGAUAUAUAUAGGUCAAAGAAUGUUCGAAAACCUAAAAGUUGCAUUUUUCCGCAUGUUUGGAGUGCAGAUCAUGAUUUCCACAUGGUCUAGCAUGUGGUCGUGUGGCAACCCGUGUAGCUCACACGGCCGUGUGCGCCCAGUCUGUGUGGCCCCUGUACCUUGCUCUAAUUUUCUGAUUUUCUCUCAUUUUUCACUACUUUUGCUCCCAAAUACUCUCCUGAGUAUAGAAAAAUGAAUUUAAAGGAUUAAGAGCAUAAAAUUCACGAUUUUACAUUGAAUAAUCAUCCAAAAAUGCAUUAAGAAUGAGGUUAAAAUAUGUUACUUUUGACAUUUAUAACAAAUCCUGCCCAUUCUGUCCUAGAGUUUCCAAGUACUUGAAAACCUCUAUGACCGACUUUUCACAAUAUCACAAUGUGAACCAUUUGUAAUCUCCACUACUAAAUAUUGCAUCAUCAACAAACAUUUUCAUUAAAUUAUUUCAAGGAUAUGACAUAGUCUUUUUAGUAAAUCAAAUAUUAAUUUCUUUUAUCAAUUUUUAAAAAAAGGUUUAAUCAUUAAGUUUGAUAGCGCAAAUAACAAAAAAAGAAAAUGAUCAUUUUAAUUUUAUGGGCCGAUGAUUAAGCCUUUCAGUUGUGCCGAAUACUUGGGGGACUUUAGAAAAUGUAACACCCCCUAACCCUAAACCAUCACCGGAAGAGAUUUAUGGAGCAUUACCGGAGUUUACAGAAUAAUUACACACAAUUCCAUUAUUUUCUUAUGUUCAUGUCAAAGCUGUCUUCUUGAGAAAUAGUCACUAAAAUAUUUAUAUCUGGAGCUACGAAGCUCCAAAUUAAGUUCCGUUAAUUUUUCUUGAAACUAGACUCAUAUGCCUUUCUACCAUAAAAAUUUCAGAAUUUUUGGUUUAGCCAAUUAGUACAGUUUAUUCCUCAAAGUUACCCCUGGUCUGCUAUUUGACAGCUUCGACCUUUCUUUACUAAAAUUUAAUUAUCUCAUAGCACAGGACUCGGGUGAUGUUCCCGUUUAUUUAUCUUGAAAAUAUACUCAUUAAGGAUUCUAAGAAUAUAAAUUAUAGCCCAUAAUUAUUUUUAUACAAUUUUUAAUGAUUUUCCCAAUUCAGAAUAGGGAAUUCCGAAAUCAAUCUGACAUUGUCUCAUAAAAAUUCAAAUUCAUACCAAAUUAUUCAAAUCCUAUUUUAUACCAUAACCAAACCUUAAAUUUAUUUAUUUCAUCCUUACAUUUACAAUUUCAAAAUGACACACACAUAAGGCAUCCUAGGUACAUGCCAUUACCCAUAAUUAACACACUUUACCUCAUUGAAUUUGGGAUUGGCCUGGGAUGCUGAUUCAACGUUCUAUCUUUACUUAACCUGCGCACGGAAACAAACCGUACGCUGAGUAUGGUAUACUCAGUGGUAUUUCCAUAAUCCGAACACUUAAUAACAUAACAAUUAAACUUAAAAUCACAAUAACAAUUAUAAGUAUUCAUUUAUUUUAUAGAUGAAUUUCAUUUAUUUACCGUAUAAAUUCUAUACAAUAUAUUCACAAUUCACUUGUAUUCACACUUUACUUCUUAACAAUAUACCAUUUUAAUUCAUUCUAACAUCAAUCAUCAUCCAUUUGAACUUCACUCAUUUCAUGAACCUUUUGGUUCAUGUUUUCAAUCUCAUAUCUCAAUUUCAAUUCUCAAUUCAAUUUCUCAUUUCAUUCUAAUAGCUCAAUCAAUCAAAUUCACUCGAUUUAUCUUUUCACUUAUUUACCCCUAUUAACAAGACUCGGACUCUGAUAGAUACGCGGAUUCCUCCCAAACACACCAGAAUAUCCAACCCAAACACACCAGAAUAUCCAACCCAAACACACCCAGAAUAUUAUAAAUCCUCCAUAACACACCAGUAUAUCAUAUCCUCCCAAACACACCAAUAAGGCAUUAAAUGCCUCUUCGGAUAAACCGAAGUAUAUAAUAAUAGAAAUAUAUUCUCGGCCGAACUACAAAUCUCCCCAUCACAUCACAAAUCCAAUGGCAUGCCAUUUGUAUCCAAUCUGGUCCGAUACUGUUAAUAGGGUAUUUGAUUCACUUUCUCAAUUUAAUAAGUCUUUCAUCAAUAUACCAUUGUAAUAAUCACAUAUAUUCAUAUCAAUUCCCUCAUAUUUCCAAUCAAUAUAAUUUUUUUCAAUAUAACAUUCAUUCAAUAUUCAAAUUUUUACAUAAAUCAUAUAUAUAUUAUAUAUUUCAAUCAAUAUAAAUUCAAUCAAAAUGAUUUCAAUCAAUAUAAAUUUGAUAAAUUCAUCACAUACCAAAAUCAAUCCAUUUCAAUUGUAAAAUAUCAUAAUUCUAACACUAACAAUUGUCAUCUGUAUAUAAAUAUAAUAAAUAGUGAUUGAGUUCGGAUUAUAGAAAUACAAACCGUAUUUUUCGAGCUUUUCCAAGCUUUUCCUCGUCGACUUUGCUAUUUCCUUACUUAGCCGAAACUUCUCGAGACAACGUUAGCUACGGAAAUUAAAACAAUUCAUAUUCAUUAAUUCACUACUAAUUUAUAUCUAAUUAAUUGAAUUUUCUAUUCAAUUUUCUACUUUAAUUUCAAUUUAAUCUUAACUAAUUUUCACUUACGUUUCUAAUUCAAUUCACAUUCUAUUUCUAUUCAAAUUUCAUCCAUACUCUCAUUUAAAUAUUAAAUUUCCAGCAUAUUUUCCUAAUUUCAAAAUUUCAUCAAUUUAGUUCCUACAACAUAAAACUUAUAACUUACUUUACAAUUUGAUCCUAUUAUCAAUUCUAACUUGAAAUUCACUCAAUUAAACCCUUAAUUCACUAUUUUAUUCAACAUGAACUAUACUUGAAAAACUAUAAACUCUCAAAAUAUCAACUUAAUUUCAUUAAAACCUUGUUUUACAGCUUCUAAAACAUCAAAUUUAAGAGGAAAUGACUUAAUUGACUUACCAAAUUAAACUUCAAGCUUCAAACCUUAUAUUUUCCCCUUUUUUCUUUCUUUUCUUUCUUUCCUUCCUUCCCUCUCUGUUUCGUUUCUACUAUUCUGUUUCUUCCCUUCUUCUCUUUUUUUUUUCUUUUGUUUUAUAU